GCGCGAAAACUUUACAAUGCUGGCAACAGCGAUAAGGGAACCUCGAGUGCCAGGUUACAAAUCUGGCUGUCGAGAUGCCUAAAAAGCAUUUCAUAGCAAGGGCCGGGCAAGACCGGUGCCAGCCGCCGCGGUAACACCGGCGGCUCGAGUGGUAACCGUUAUUAUUGGGUCUAAAGGGUCUGUAGCCGGCCGGAUAAGUCUCUUGAGAAAUCUGGCAGCUUAACUGUCAGGCUUUCAGGAGAUACUGUCUGGCUCGAGGCCGGGAGAGGUGAGAGGUACUUCAGGGGUAGGGUGAAAUCUUGUAAUCCUUGAAGGACCACCAGUGGCGAAGGCGUCUCACCAGAACGGACCUGACGGCAAGGGACGAAAGCUAGGGGCACGAACCGGAUUAGAGACCCGA
rnacentral:rRNA from 1 species